CGUUGCCCUGCAAGUUAGUGGCAGACGGGUGAGUAACGCGUGGGAAUGUACCUUUUGGUUCGGAAUAACUACGGGAAACUGUGGAUAAUACCGAAUAAGCCCUUCGGGGGAAAGAUUUAUCGCCAAAAGAGCAGCCCGCGUUAGAUUAGGUAGUUGGUGGGGUAAUGGCCUACCAAGCCUUCGAUCUAUAGCUGGUCUGAGAGGAUGAUCAGCCACACUGGGACUGAGACACGGCCCAG
rnacentral:rRNA from 1 species